CUUACACAUGCAAGUCGAACGGCAGCACGGGUGCUUGCACCUGGUGGCGAGUGGCGAACGGGUGAGUAAUACAUCGGAACAUGUCCUGUAGUGGGGGAUAGCCCGGCGAAAGCCGGAUUAAUACCGCAUACGAUCUACGGAUGAAAGCGGGGGACCUUCGGGCCUCGCGCUAUAGGGUUGGCCGAUGGCUGAUUAGCUAGUUGGUGGGGUAAAGGCCUACCAAGGCGACGAUCAGUAGCUGGUCUGAGAGGACGACCAGCCACACUGGGACUGAGACACGGCCCAGACUCCUACGGGAGGCAGCAGUGGGGAAUUUUGGACAAUGGGCGAAAGCCUGAUCCAGCAAUGCCGCGUGUGUGAAGAAGGCCUUCGGGUUGUAAAGCACUUUUGUCCGGAAAGAAAUCCUUGGUUCUAAUAUAGCCGGGGGAUGACGGUACCGGAAGAAUAAGCACCGGCUAACUACGUGCCAGCAGCCGCGGUAAUACGUAGGGUGCGAGCGUUAAUCGGAAUUACUGGGCGUAAAGCGUGCGCAGGCGGUUUGCUAAGACCGAUGUGAAAUCCCCGGGCUCAACCUGGGAACUGCAUUGGUGACUGGCAGGCUAGAGUAUGGCAGAGGGGGGUAGAAUUCCACGUGUAGCAGUGAAAUGCGUAGAGAUGUGGAGGAAUACCGAUGGCGAAGGCAGCCCCUGGGCCAAUACUGACGCUCAUGC
rnacentral:rRNA from 1 species